rnacentral:rRNA from 1 species
CAGCCCUAAACGAUGCGCGUUAGGUGUAUCGGUGACCACGAGUCACCGAGGUGCCGAAGGGAAACCGUGAAACGUGCCGCCUGGGAAGUACGGUCGCAAGGCUGAAACUUAAAGGAAUUGGCGGGGAGGCACCACAACGGGUGGGAGCCUGCGGGUUUAAUUUGGACUCAACGCCGGGAAGCUCACCGGAUAAGACAGCGGAAUGAUUGCCGGGCUGAAGACCCUGCAUGACCAGCUGAGAGGAGGUGCAUGGCGUAGUCGUGU